rnacentral:lncRNA from 1 species
CGAUACUACUCUCUUACGGCCGGAGCUGUCCCUUUCCACUGGGAAGUCCAACCUGGUACCCCCAAGUAUCCAUAUUCCGAUGAAACUCCAAUUCUCCCUCCUCUAACUCCUCCGCCGUCCUACCUGAAGUUGACUCUGAAGCCGGUGAGAAGUGCAAAUUUGGAGAAGCCCACAGGUAUAAUCAACUCAAUUCUUCCGAUGUUGAAACUAAAGAAGAAGAAGAAGAUGGAAUUAAAAUACCCUCUUCCUCCAAAACUCACCUCAUCACAAUCCAACUCUUCAUCAUCUAUAUCGACUUCGACUUGUGGAAAAAGUAGACUGAGUUGGGAGUCAUCAGCAUCGUCGACGUUGACGUUGUCAUCAGGUGCCACCGCCACCCCGGAG